rnacentral:lncRNA from 1 species
GGGGUGGCAGGUCCCAGAGCAAGGUGCUGGCGUGGCCAGUUCCUGGUGGGGCCUCUCUGCCUGCCUUGUGGGUGCCCUCUUGCUGUGUCUUCACGAAGCUUCUCCUCCGUAGGUGCAGAGAGACAGCGAGUGUGAGCGGUGACGUUGGACUUUCUUCCACAUUCACUAAUGAGGAAACAGGCUAAGAGAAGUUAAGGACUUUACCUCUUCCUUCAUAAUCCCUCAAUUAUGGUUGAGAGACUUAAGAUGACCUUCCAGCCAGCUACCCCACACAGUCUGCCUCCAGAGGUCUUGUCUGGGCAGUCUCCCCAGAGUGCAGAAACUGGAGUCUUAACCAGGACACAGCCGCUCGGGAUGGCACUGACUCUGGAAAUCACUCUGCUGACUGGUGAGAAGGCUCGCCCUCCCCACGGUCUG